rnacentral:misc_RNA from 1 species
GAAAUGCGAUAAUUAAUGUGAAUUGCAGAAUUCAGUGAAUCAUCGAGUCUUUGAACGCACAUUGCGCCCCCUGGUAUUCCGGGGGGCAUGCCUGUCCGAGCGUCAUUGCUGCCCUCAAGCACGGCUUGUGUGUUGGGCUUCCGUCCCUGGCAACGGGUACGGGCCCAAAAGGCAGUGGCGGCAUCAUGUCUGGUCCUCGAGCGUAUGGGGCUUUGUCACCCGCUCCCGUAGGUCCAGCUGGCAGCUAGCCUCGCAACCAAUCUUUUUAACCAGGUUGACCUCGGAUCAGGUAGGGAUACCCGCUGAACUUAAGC